GCUCCGCCCCCGUAGCCUUCCCUUCAUUGCCAAGAAAAGUUGUCCUUGGGGGCGCUUUAGUUGUUUGACGGGUGCACGAUGCGCGCGGUUUGUGUGUGUGUGUGCCAUGCUGUGUUCUGCAAUGCUUCGUUACCACGUUUAUCGAUUAUGCACGUUGGUUACUUGAUUCAAUGUCAAGUGUACCUUCCAAGACGAUCUAGGUCCUAGUCUCGUGACUGAAGGCGAGUGCGGACGUACAGCAGCCUUUUGACAAGACUGUCGCCGAGUGUACGGUACAUUGUGGACUGUAAAGCUGAAGAGUGCACAGUGGAUGCCUGAUUUUGGAACCGAGUGUGAUCGUCUGGGCGGUGUGUUCACUCUGCGGGGAUGAUGGCCAGAGGAAGGAUGAUAGACAGACGACAGCUUGCAGACGAAGAUGGGAGCGUUCUACCUGUGAGCCUGGUCGAGCUUAUAUUUUAUGGUAGGCAUUUGUUUCAAUCUUUACAAAGAGCUUCGACAUGUUGCGCCUGCUCAUGAACCUAUUGCAACUUUUUUGAGGGAAUUCUAAGAUCAAAGAAACAAGACCCUAGACGUAACUCCAUUAAUGUAUACUUGAUGCUAGACUUGACCUUCUGUGUUGUUUUCCUGUUUUCUUACAGGAUUUGCUGAAAGUUUCUAUUGGAAAUGCGAUAUAAGAUGCAAUUUUGACUAACUCUAACUUCACAAAAGUGCUUUUUGUCAACUACCUGCACGGGGCCUUGGCAGUACAUCUAAGUGUUCUAAGGUGCACGAUGUGUUGGAUAAAGUUUUCUUUGCAACUCUUAUAUAUUUACUGCGAUCUUUCGUGCAGGAUACACA